UACAGAGGGGGCAAGCGUUGUUCGGAAUUACUGGGCGUAAAGGGCUCGUAGGCGGCCAACUAAGUCAGACGUGAAAUCCCCCGGCUUAACCAGGGAACUGCGUCUGAUACUGGAUGGCUUGAGUUUGGGAGAGGGAUGCGGAAUUCCAGGUGUAGCGGUGAAAUGCGUAGAUAUCUGGAGGAACACCGGUGGCGAAAGCGACAUCCUGGACCAACACUGACGCUGAGUGAGCGAAAGCCAGGGGAGCAAACGGG
rnacentral:rRNA from 1 species